AUCCCGUGAUGAGGGCACUUUCUUAACAACUCUUUAAAUCUCUCCCAUGAAUCAUACAGUGACUCUCUUUCUCCAUCUGACAGAAAUUAUUAAUCUCCCCUCUCAACCAU